GGUGUCGAAAGACUUAAUAGGGAAGCCGGUAUAUGCCGGCGCGGUCCCGCCACUGUAACAGGGAAUGAAUCUGCAUAGAUAUGUCACUGGGGCGUAAGCCUUGGGAAGGCGCAGAGGAGUAAUGAUCUGGAGCCAGGAGAACUGCCUGCUUGA
rnacentral:ncRNA from 1 species